UUUUUUUUUUUUUUUUGGGUGUUUGCCUUUUUUGCCCUCUGCUUGUUUGUAUGUGGCAACAGCUGCUUUAGGAAGAAAAUACUGCCAUGGCCUCAGCAUCCCCUGGUUCAGCUUACUCAGCUUCUCCUCAGGGGGAUUUCUAGAGGAAGGCAAUGACUGUGGCUACAGCAGCUUCCCUUCAGCAGUGAACAAAUAAUCCUGACCUCCAGAAGAGGGGCAAAUGCACUUUGCUAGAAUGAGCUAUUUUGCACAGUCCUUGGUAAUACCUGGUCCCUGUCCUGCUGAAAGCAGGGGGAGGAGAACCAAGGCUUCCAGUCUGAUGUGUUCAUAGCCCCUAAUUCUCCAGAUCCCAUCAGGCUUGAGGGAUUUUGUGGGAUUUAAAGGGAUUUUCGUCCUUGUGAAAAUUAUAUUUCUACUAAAGUUAAAAAUGCUGUUAAGUUGUAAUGCUAGUUGUACAGGACCUCUUCUCCAUUUACAUGCUGAGUUUGUUUUCCUCUGCUCCUUAUCUGCUUAAAAUUAAGAACAUUUUGGCCAAAAAUUUUGCAAUUUUGUGGGUUUUACAAGCUGUGCCCAGAGGCAAUGUCUCUUUUCCUGAGGGAAUGGUGGAAGAUAAGAGGAUUCUCCCUCCCCCUCACACCAGAAGGGUCUCCCGGGGAGGCGAGUCUGCAGAGACUAUCAUGAAUGGAGCUCACACCGAGUGCUCUCUUUUUAUUGCUCAGGGGGCACCGUGUGGUUGUGAGAUGACAAAGGCACUGCGUUCAGGAAGCAGAAAAGCGGAAGGAAACUGUGCAAGACAGGGGGUUCCCAGCCUAUGACACUGCCUUUAAACAAGGUACUUUUGAAUGGAGGAGAAGCUUGGGAACAGGGAAACCAGGAGGGGGUUUUAGUACCUUUACUUCUUGCUAGGCCAGUAGCUGAGAUGCCAGCUGAGGCUGUGGCCAUUUCCCCACUGCAGGCAGCCCACGGCAAUCACCAGGCAGGCCCUCGCAAGCCAGCCGGGAUCCUGUGAGCUGCCAGAGGCACACAAAGCACACAGACCCGUCUUCUGCCUCCUUUGCUUCUGGACCACUUGACUUGUACCAUCUGCAGGGAGUUCUGCCAUUAUCUGCACUGCAGUGUUUGAAACAGGAUUAGGUUUGAGCCACAGGUGGAAAGAUUUCACUGCCCACCUGACCACAAGACGUAAAGGCAUAGACCAGACCAGUUUAGUCUUAUCAGAGGAAACCCCAUUAUUCACUGUUUGGCAGGGAAAAAAAAAAUAAAAAUAAGGAAACCACAUUGUUUCAGGCAGCUGCAAAGGCCUUGAUAGCUCUCUGUGCUGAGCAGAUGCAGCUAGGCUGGGCUGCAGGAGAAAGGCACUAGCACAGAAGAUCCUCAGAAAGGGAAGGACUGUGAAAAGGCCGUGCAUAUUGGUGAAGAUUUCUGCUGUAUUUACAGGAUCUGGACUCAAACUGGACCCGGAGCUUGCUGAAUGUUUGCCAGCACUCGUCUGCAAUUACCGAGCGUGGGAAUUCCCUCCGGGGUGGAGCCCGGUGCCCCUAGGUGUGGCACCAAUAAAAACAAGCCCAGGUUUUCCCUGCUUCUUUCAGGGUGGGGAAAAUUACCUUAAAAUGUUUCUCCCCGGGUCGGUAGUGGAGUAAUUAACAGCUAAGUAUUUGGCAAUUGAAGGGGACGGGAUUAGGACUAACUGUGAUUAAACAAAUUUUAAAUUGUCCUUAUUCCAAUAUUUUGUAACUUCCAGCAGAACUUCUCAUCAUUUUUGUCUCCAAAAAAGAGAACCGAUCUGUUCUCUCAGAUCCAAAAAUAUGGCCAUGCAAGGUUUUUAAUGGCAACUGAAAAUUGUUUCUAGAAGUUGCAGAGUCCACUCCAUAAUAAUGUUAAAAAUUGUUGGAAUAAUCAUAAUUUAUAAUUAAGAAGAGGACAGAAGGAAAGGUGGCAACAUUUCUCAUUGUUAACAGUGCCAGAAGGUCUUCAGAAACCAGCUGAGAUGAGAGGAUGUAGCUGUACGGGAGUUAACAAAACACCAGGCCCUUUGGACCCUCCUGCUGCCGUUGCUAUCAUUAGCGAGACUGCACCAUGCAAGGACAUUUUCAAUGAAAAUUUCAAAGCUCCAGGAGAAACUAGCGAGGCAGGUUCUGCUGCAGCUAUAUUUAAUGCUGUUCUGAGUCCUCUCCCACAGCCUGUGGCAGAAAGCUCGUGAGAGCACAGCAGUGCUUCGGUCGGCUUCCUUUCUAUGCGCUAUCCUCACAUGACCCUGCUCACUGAGGACAAGGCUGUUUCCUUCCCCAGCUCUGAAAAUCAACAGAUGUGCAAAACUGAGUGCCCAGGUUUUGAUCGCAGUUUCUGUAAACACCAGUUGUGUUAAAUGCCUUCUUUCAGCAUUUAUGUACUUGAAGAGGUUUGGUGUAUUUUAUUUAUUUAUUUUGAACAGACCUGAAGGAAAAUCGAGUCAGAACUUUAUGGAAGAGCAGAAAACAACACUCUAGCCAGCGCAACUAACCUGUCUCAGCAGCUCCACUGUAUUUGUCAAGACCAGAGGGAGGGAGCUGGAGCCUUUCACUAGCUGGAGCAAUUCCAGGCAGCAGCCACAGCUCUUGAAUACAGCCCUUUCAAACCCCAAUUUUGCGCAAACCGAAGGAAGCACACGCAUGAGGAGUUUCGGGCUUUGUGUGGCUGUAAAUGGGCGGCACCUACAGAGUCGGCCAAGGACCAUCUGGAGGAUUGCACUCCAGCGCUGGAGAGUGCCCUGAGCUAGCCGUGUGCGUGACGUUGGCAAGAAGCAAUUGUUUAUUCUCCUAGGAAACGAUCCAUCUGAAAAUGUUUGACAUACCAGCACAAUAUAACCGUAGCAACCCACAGCGUGUGGCACAACCAAAGCGAGGGCUGUGCUUUUUGCACUCUGACAGGACGAUGACGCAGCAGCCUGUGCCAGCCGGGUCCUACCCCUCCCUGUUUCCUCAAGAUCUUAUCCCUCCCCACAGCACUGCAGCCCGUGCAGCUGUGUGAGGGCCCGGCGAGCUGGCCAGGCAAAAGCUAAUCCUGCAGCGAAGGGACGAGCACUGGCCCAGGGGGGCUCCCUGAACAGGGCCAGCCUGUACUCACAGGCGACUGAAGGCUGCUGCUUCUGACUGUGCACCUGUGCCCUUGCCUCUUCACACUGAGAGGAAUGACUGGCUUCUCUUUACAAAGAAACUGUGGCUCUGCUGGUAGAUAAAUCUAGCACUGAGAGAUAAAAGAAACAGUGGGAAGGAUUCCACUGAUUGAUGAAUGGAAAAAGAUAUUUGCCUUUACAAACAAACUGUAGGUUUGCUGAUAAAUUAAUUUGGAUGUUGUAAGAUGAAAGAAACAAUGGGGAAAACCCCUAAAUUCCAUACGAAUUUAAAAGGAGGGUUAUACAUUUGAGGGAAAUCUUCAGUAUCAGGUAUUCUGGGAAGUCUGUACCUCUCAAGUACCUCAGGCAACGGGGAAGGAGAGAAGGGAAAUGCAGCCAGGAAAUUGGGAUAAAAAGGAGGCUGCAUCCUCCAAAUAUUUCAGAAACCCCAGGGGAAUGCCCAUGGCCUCUCCCUUUAUUUGAAUAUAGUAAAACAACUCCUCUGUCUCCUUUUUGGACAUAAACCUCUGAUGUUUGUGGAUUAAUUUUCCUGACAAUACCAAGAACCUAAUGUCGUGCACCUGAGCCUAGAAGCUCAAACAAGGCCCUUUGCCCACUCUGCACUUGCAGCACAUCUUGGUCUUUCCAGUGCUUUUGAAAGCUCCUUGUUCCCAGCAUGGUGGGAUUACAGCAUGGAUCUAUCCACACAUAUCAAUUCUUGUUACAAAGCACGAGUGGUCAGGUACUGUUUGGCUUGUGUUUUGAUUUGCCUCCAAAGUGGGAAAGCAUCACACACUUGUUAUUAACUGUAUUUGAAAUAAAGACUGUAACAUCAUUUUGCAAAUACACACUUCAUCAACAGAAGCAGUUUCCUAAUCAUCCUGCUGAACUCAUUGCACAUACUUUUAUUUAUCAAUAUGUCCAGCAUCAGUGAGCAGAAAAAAUCCAAUCGAUUCUCUUUUUCUCUAUUAGGAACUAAAAUCCCCUCUAGAGAUUGACCUUUGCUACUUCAUUUCUGUAAUACAGACCAUUUGUAAUGCUACUCAUCAUAAAUUUGUUUUGUUAUCUUUUUUUGACAACACAGUUCUCUUUUCCGUACCUGCAUACCAAGACAUUCACACCAUCUGGGUCUGGUUUUGUUUCUUCCCCCUCCAGACUUAUUUUGCAACCUAUCUCUAUACUGUAACUUCUGACUUUGAACCUAUGGACUAUUAACGCACUUUAUACAGCUGUCCCCUGAUGAACUACCUACACAAGAGUCCAUGUCUGUUUCCUGCGUUGGAGUGAGAAAGAUGUAGGUGUCAGUGCAAAGUAGUCAAAGUAGGAAAAAAGUUUACAAAAUUACUUCCUUGUAAGUACUCUUAUCACGCAUGGGACAUAACUAUUUUUGCACUUCCAAAGCCAAUUCUACACUACUUAGUACUUUAUUUACUUGCCUUGUUACUAGGUAAGAGAGGUUAGUAAUGGAAACUUCUCAUGGAGAUAGGAAUGGGGAACAUCAUCACCUAGUCUUCUAACAAGUAUUCAACAAACAUUUCAUGUAUGCAGACGCCCACCAGGUGAAGAAACCAGAAGCUACAGGCUAAAAAGAAUGCACUGGAGACUGAGGUUUUGGGCAACUUGCCACUACCUUGUGGCAAGUCAGGCAGCCUUCCUGGUCAUCAUUGAAAAACCUCCUUUCUCUCCCAUCCUUUCUACUAACAGCUUUGACUCCAACAAUCCUCAGCCUGCUUUCUGUUACCUUCAGGGGCAGUGAGUAACUAAGCUAACCUGGUAGCCUAUUUUCAAGGUUCACCACAUCCUUAGAUGAGAAAUGAUUUUUGGGUUUUUUUCUGUCAGCAGGCAUUUCCAAAUACUGUUAACUGAAACUAGACUAACAUUCAAUGCAAAUAAAUUUCUUCACAGUGUCCUAAAGGUAUGCAAGGCUACAAGUGGUUUAAGAGACAGAGACAGAAAAGGAAAAGAAAGAAAGGCUGCCCAUCCAACUUGUGCUAAAACCCAAUGUAAGGCAGCUGCUGUCCCCGCUGGCAGCCAACUUGCUGCAAGUUUUCUUGAUACCUUGUUGGAAGUUCUGGCUUCCUAAAUGACCUCACAGUGCACUGCCCAAAGAGACCCUGCCUAGCCAAGCAUGCCAGCCUGCAGUUAGAUUUCAUCAGGAGGUUUCUAUGGAUUAUGAAAACUAAUAUCCUAUCUUUCCCUGAGGAAAACAUUUACUUGCAAGGAGAAUUUUGACUGUCACUCCUGUCAGGUGUGUCACAAGUUUAACCAGCGCCUCCUUAGGGAUCCUGUGCUGCACUGCCCCCUGUGCUGGUACUAUUAUUGCAGGACCCGCAUCAAGGUUAAACCAGUAUCCACACUGAGCUGCUGUUCUGGAUGGAUUUAGUUGUUUUGGUUUUUUUAAACAUAAGUUUGUGUCGGUAUCAGGUUUCCUGGGUAGCCCUGCAAAUUGCUGGGCUACACAGUGGUGACAGGAACAGAAGAACUGAGAAGAAGGUGCUGUAACAGCACCCUCCCCAAAGAAACCUUCCUCAGAGGAGAUGGGAGUAGUCUUGAUGCUGCCGAAGCGAAGGCUGGAGUCACCUGCUAACAAAGGCAGACACAACUUUGGUGAGCCAGAUGCCAUCAUAUAGGUUUAAGUCAAAGACUAGCCAGGGGGAUAAUGAGCUGUGGAAACUCCCGUUCUUUGGAGAUGCAGGCUGUGGUUUCACAGUGGAUUAAAGCAGAGGCAGUGCAAUCCCAUUUCCCUCUUCCCUCUUUUACAUCUGCACUACAGCCAAUUUGGACCUAGGGUAAGACGACUGCAACAGAGAACUGAACCAAAACCCCCCAGUGUUUUCCAUCAAUUAAGUAAAGAGAAUGGCUCUUUACAAAUACAAAUGAGCACCACUGCUUGCUGAAGGAAGAGCCGCGUGAGGGGAAAACCCAGGGAGAUUGAGCACACCUGCAAUCCUCACAGCAACAUCAGAUGGCAAUGAGUGGCAUCCCUAUUCCUGCUCAUGCAAUCCUGGUCCAUGCACAUUCAUGCUAUUUUUCUCCAUCAGCCAGCAAAUUUGACUCUCUAACUUGAGAGAGGGCUGCUUUCUAGUCUAAGGAAUCUCAUAAAGGAUUAAAUACCUUAUGUUCACAACUCUUCAUGCCACUGGGUGUCACAAGAGUCAGUUUUCUGGAAGAGGAAACAACACAAUUUGCUGGCAAAAAAUUGAAGUCUUGGCUUGUGUAUACUGAUCUGCGCUGCAUACUAUGCUGCUAGAAGCUCUGAGAGAAAACUUCAUUCCAGAGGCUUGUGGUCCAAUGCAUGUAUCAGCUAAGCCACAAAGACAGGUAGGAGACAGCCAUGAAGUGCAUCUGCAGUGCCAGGAAGCUCAGCCACGGUUGGUAGGUUCUAGAAAGAACCAGGAGAAAAACGCUAUCCCCAAAAAGUGGAAGCACACACUACUUGGAAGCUGACUCAGUUCUGCCAAGCAGUUACCUGCAUUUUGACUUAGUGCUACGCUGGCUCUGUUUAUUCAUCAGGUUUAUAGUGAAGUACCUAAGAGUUACCAUAUUUAUCACUGCAGCACAGAUUUUUCAUAGAACAUGGUGACAUGGGUAAGACCAUUACUACAGAAAAGAUGAGUAUGCUAAGAAAAUCUUAGAGAAGAGCAGCAAAUACUGUGAAUAACAGGGGUUUGUCAGUCACUUAAAAAUGCAAGUUUAUCUAUAUAGAUAUACUACAAAGGACUGGUUAAAAUGUUUCAUGGGGAUUUCUAAAAUAUGAGAAGCACAAUAAACAAACAAAGUCCACACUAUUUUAAACAGCUUUGCAGAGGCAUGUGAUUAUCCUUGUUUUAGUUUGGGCAUGAGAGCUUUACUGUUCCAACAGAGCCUGAACUACAGGAUGUCUUGCAUUGUUUCCAAGUCGUUUGGGUUACAGCAAAACAACAGAACAGAACAAAUUGUUACUAGCAAGAACUGGCUGGAACAAGCUGUCACAAUUUAAAAAUUUCCCAUCUGAAAAAGCAAAAAUUCACUGAUUAUAAAAUGGAAAGCAAUGUCCCUACCAUUACUACCCUGGUAGUGUAGCUUUUUUUCCUAGAAGAAAACAUGAAUACUACUAUGGAUAUGCUUCACAAAACUUGGUCUCAUGACCCAGUAAGGCUACUGUUUUACAGAACUCAAAAUAGCAGGCUUUGCUUCUGUGCCAGGGGAAAAAAAUUGGGAAAGUUAUGUAACUUUUUUUCUUCAGAUGCUAGAAAAUGACAGACAUAGUUCUUUGAUCUUACUUCCAACAAUGUGUGCUGAACCAAAAUAUUUCUUAUUUGGUAAACCUGGACAUUGAUUUAAUGCAAAAGAGGACAGAGAAGGUAAAAAAGAAUCCUUCAUAUAAUUCCAUGUCAUUAAAAUUGUUGUGAUCUAUCUGUAUGUACUCGCCCCAUCUACCCCUGUCCUUAGACUGUCAUCAGCUUUACAGUGAAAAGACACAGCCAAACAUUGUGCAUUACACAGUAGGACAUAGUGCUCUUCAGACAUACCUGAAAUCCUACAGAAGUUCACUGCUGCCUGUUUUGGGUUGGGUUGUUGUGUGUUAAGAGAGGGUCUCGUGAGUGGAGAUUGACCACAGUGACUGUGAGGCGAUCAAGUCUAAAAUCUGUGUUGACAGGAGGAAAAGUGCCAGGAAAACUUCAGCUCUAGACAUGAGGAGAGCAGACUUCAGGCUGCUCAGGAAGCUAGUUAGUAAAUUGGGAAAAUGCCUUUGAACACCUAAAGGAUGCAGUUAUUGAUCACAGCACGGCUUUGUGAAAGUCCUGCUUAUCAAACCUGAUUUCCUCUUACGGCAAUAGGUAACUCACCUAGUUGAUCAGGGGAAGCCAGUUGAUCUAAUCCUUUUGGAUUUCAGUAAAGCUUUCAAUACUGUCUCUCACAGGAUCCUUCUGGACAAAAUGUCCAGCACACAGCUGGAUAAACACAUCAUGGGAUGGGUGGGCAACUGGCUCCCCAUUGAGCUGCUUCUGUUUAUAAUACAUACCAUUGAUGUCUUUGGGGCUCCAUUUGCAUGGAGAGAGGGAGGUUGCUCAUCAGAAAUCCAGAUGGUUUUCAGAGUUCAAUAAAUAUUGAUUUACCUAAGCUGACUGCAUGUACUUGGCAUUUGCAUCCUUACACUACAGCAGAGAUAAAGAACACUGGUGAUGUAAGGUGGACAGUUACAAGGCAGUGCUAAGCCAGUACAGGUUGCACUGAUGUAGGUCUGGUAUGCAAAUAAAACUUGAUCCUAUUCCUGUUUAACUACUUGUGCAUUCACACUGUAACUGCAUCUGCCAGUUUUCAGCACUGGCACAACAAACCACAAACACAUGGAGCAACCCCAAUUCUGGUAUCACUCUUUCUCUACCCGAACUAGGAGCACCAGGAUUGUACCACACAUACUCCUGUUUCUUUUGAAGUGCCAGGUUUGAGACAGCAGGUGAUAGUAGCUACAGCUCAGCACCAGCCACAGCUGUACAGCUUGGUUGCAGGUGAUAUUUGCUCCAGGGUGUGAAGAACGUAAUUAUGUGUUAUGUCUAACACAUGGGGGUUUCCCAUUCCAUCAGGCAACCCCACCUGCAUUGCUGCCUUAUCUUCAGUAACAAAAAGCUUUGACUAAAAAAGAAAAAUCCCCAUUAUUAAUAUGAAAAGAGAACCAUGCAUUUUCUCUACAGGGAAAAUUCUAGCAAAAAUGUCAUAAAAAAAGGCAACAUUCACCAUUUCCUUUAUGAAAAAAAAAAAAGGCAACAUUCACAGUUAAAAUAUUGUAAACAGCUUACUUCAUCUCUGAACACAAGAUGGACAUUCUGCAUUGCAAAACAGGCAAGGCAUGAACAAACAUCCACUGCUCUCAGAACCACCACCUGAGUUUUAUGGUCCCAUACAAGCUCCAAAAUUUAGAAUUCAAGGACUUGCAGGGAAUUUUGAUCCUGAAUACUAUGCAAAUGUGCUCUAGUCAUAUGGAUUCCUGAUUGCUAUCUUCCCUUUAAUUUUUUGUUCAAGAAGUAAUUAGUGAUAUUUUCCAUACAUUAUUAAAGCUGAUCAAGAACAAACUAUUGAUGGAUGAUAUUUUGUGGCAGACUAAAUAAUGACCAAAGCCUACUCAAAUUUCAGGUUGUUAUACAACUGGAGUAUGAGGAAGAAAGGCCCUAGGGGUUUUCAGAAACUGAGCUAUCACUGGCAGCUGAAAUAACACAGACCUAAAUGUACCAUUAGCUGCACAAAGGUGCUGAUUUGUUGCACAAACCCACACAGAAUUCUCAGAUAACCAACCCAAAACCAGAAGCAGGGGUGCUUAUCUUAUCUACCUGGCAUAAGAGAAGCUGAAAUUUGGAGGCAUGAACAGAAAUCAAAGAAGUUUUGUAAAGUUCACAAUUCACUGUACAUCUGAUUC
rnacentral:lncRNA from 1 species